UAGGGAAUCUUCCGCAAUGGACGAAAGUCUGACGGAGCAACGCCGCGUGAGUGAUGAAGGCUUUCGGGUCGUAAAACUCUGUUGUUAGGGAAGAACAAGUGCUAGUUGAAUAAGCUGGCACCUUGACGGUACCUAACCAGAAAGCCACGGCUAACUACGUGCCAGCAGCCGCGGUAAUACGUAGGUGGCAAGCGUUAUCCGGAAUUAUUGGGCGUAAAGCGCGCGCAGGUGGUUUCUUAAGUCUGAUGUGAAAGCCCACGGCUCAACCGUGGAGGGUCAUUGGAAACUGGGAGACUUGAGUGCAGAAGAGGAAAGUGGAAUUCCAUGUGUAGCGGUGAAAUGCGUAGAGAUAUGGAGGAACACCAGUGGCGAAGGCGACUUUCUGGUCUGUAACUGACACUGAGGCGCGAAAGCGUGGGGAGCAAACAGGAUUAGAUACCCUGGUAGUCCACGCCGUAAACGAUGAGUGCUAAGUGUUAGAGGGUUUCCGCCCUUUAGUGCUGAAGUUAACGCAUUAAGCACUCCGCCUGGGGAGUACGGCCGCAAGGCUGAAACUCAAAUGAUUGACGGGGUCAUAGCUGUUUCCUG
rnacentral:rRNA from 1 species